AAUUCGAAGUCAGUCAGGAAGUCAUGUUAACUAUUGCAUGAAAAUGGAAAGAAAGGGGAAAGGAAAAUCCGUAGUGUGGAAAGAGUAGGACCUAGGAGCAAAGCAAGAACUGCAAAGCUACACAUUUUCUCUCUUUUCCUGCCUUGAUGGACCGAGCGAUAGGGCAGAAGCUCAGCUAAGGUUGAGGCUAUGAGAGCAUUGAAGUUGGAUUUGCUGGACAAGACGUUAAAAGAAAAAAUGUCAUUGAGAACAUUCAUCAAACACAUGGGGCGCGUCACUUCCGCCCCCACUCUCUCGCACCUCCACAGUCGCCGCCGCCACAGCGCAGACCAGCCGCCGCUGCCGCAGCACCAGCAAGAAGACCCGUAUUCGCUACUGAAAGAAGACCCAAUUCAAGUGAUCUCGGACCUCUGGGUCCGAGCCUUCUCCGACCGUCAAACCCGCAGACCUUUCACCAACCUCACCGGCUUCCUCUCCAAGCUCGACCUCUGGGUGCUGGCCUACCAGCGCACGUGCGCCCACGUGACCGGCUCUUUCCCUUCCCGCGCCGCCCUGCAAUCGAAAGUCCUCCACGACCUCCUCUCCCUGCGAAACGCCGUAGUUCGCGGCCGCUUCCUCUGGAACGCCAAGGCUGAGAUCUACAUUCGCAGCCCCCACGAAAAACCUUCCUCCAAAUUGCUCUCCAAACGUGCCACCGUGCAUUUUCAAGACCAUGUGGUUCAGGAAGUCCUCCUGCUGAUUCUCGAGCCCAUUUUGGAGGCUCGGUUCUCGUCGAAAUCGCACGCGUUUCGGCCCGGUCGGAACGCCCAUACGGCUAUUCGGACCAUUCGCAGUAAUUUUGCCGGGUACCUGUGGUACUUGAAAGGCGAUGUAAGUGGAAUUUUUGAUGGCGUUGAUGUGAAUUUUGUGAUGGGUUGUGUUGAGCAGGCUUUGAAGGAUAGGAAAGUUCUUUGUCUGAUCAGAUUGGGGCUUAAAACACCAAUAAAGAAUGAAUCACAAUGCGGUAGUGGAGGUGAAGACGAGAUUGCGAAGAAAAGGAAGAACAAGAAAGUGGGUCGUAGGAGGAACAAGACUCUAAAUGAGAAUGAGCCAAAGCCAGACCCAUAUUGGCUGAGAACUUUCUAUAGUUUCGCACCUGAGGAGGCUGCCAAGGUACCUAGCUACGGUUGUUGUGGUAUUCUUAGUCCUUUGCUCGCUAAUGUGUGCCUUAAUGAAUUGGAUCAUGUAAUGGAAGAGAAAAUUGUUGAGUUCUUUAGGCCUUCCGAGCUUGAUUCAAUUUGGAAAGAUUCUGGCGAUGAGGGUAGUCAUAACCCCGCUUGGCCAGAGUUUGUUCCAUCAAGUGGAAGGGACAGAACGAGGAAAAUGGAUUAUAUUCGCUAUGGGGGCCAUUUUUUAAUUGGGAUCCGGGGACCUAGAGAUGAGGCAGUGAGAAUCCGCAAAGAAAUAAUACAAUUUUGUGAGAGCAAAUAUGGCUUGAGGCUGGACAACUCAAAGGUGCAAAUAGAACACAUUAGUAGAGGAAUUCAGUUUUUGGACCAUAUAAUAUGUCUCCGGGUGAUACAUCCUACUCUUCAUUACACUAAAACUGGUGGUGAAAUUGUGAGUAAGAAAGGGGUUGGCACUUUGCUUUCAGUUACAGCUAGCUUACAACAAUGUGCUCGUCAAUUUAGAAAGCUCAAGCUCGUUAAGGGUGAUAAGGAUCCAGAGCCACUGCCUUGCACUCCAAUGCUGUACUCAGGUCAAGCUCAUACUAAUGCACAGAUGAACAAGUUCCUCGAGACCAUGGCAGAUUGGUACAGAUAUGCAGAUAACCGCAAAAAAGUUGUUGCAUUUUUUGCAUAUGUGAUACGGAGUUCUUUGGCUAAAUUGUAUGCUGCCAGGUAUCAACUCAAAUCACGUGCAAAGGUAUAUCAGAUAGCUUCUCGGGAUCUUAGUCAUCCAUUGAGGACAAGUAGCAACAGUUGUAUGCCUGAAUAUUCUGAUCUUUUGAAAAUGGCAUAUGUUGAUGCCAUUGAGGGGGUACAGUUUUCUCGCAUGUCCUUAAUACCGUCUUGUGAUUACACUCCAUUCCCAAGAAAUUGGUUUCCUGAACAUGAGAGGGUGUUGCGUGAAUAUAUCAGAUUACAAAACCCCAAAUUCUUCGGUGAGUUGCAGGGAUCAGUCAAACAUGACAGUUUAAAUGUGCCUCAAGAUGAGAUAUCUGAAAUUGUUUGGGACUGCAAGACACUAGGAAUUCACAGCUUCUUGCCUAAUCAUGGAAAAGAAACAACAAAUGCUUCAUUGCUACCACUGUAAAUUCAGUCAUGAAAUUGAAGAAACACAGUUUUAAUGAUGGUGAUCUCUUCAAGGAGGUCUCCUCAAAAGGAUGAAGGAGCAUUUCCAACCUGCCUAAUGCGUAUGGAGUUGAAGACAUGGUUAUUCCCAUCUUCCAGCUCAAAAGCCAGAGAUGGGGAAGCUAUGGACAAGGCCGGAAACGUUGCGACUUCUGGGCCAUAAACAAACAUCUGGCCAAUCUGCUUGUUCUUCUUCUGCUUCUUUUAAAGAUUUGUGACGGCUGUUUUAACCACUCAUAAAUCAUAAAUUGUUCUUUAU